rnacentral:rRNA from 1 species
CCUACGGGUGGCAGCAGUGGGGAAUAUUGGGCAAUGGGCGCAAGCCUGACCCAGCAACGCCGCGUGAAGGAAGAAGGCUUUCGGGUUGUAAACUUCUUUUCUGAGGGACGAAGAAAGUGACGGUACCUCAGGAAUAAGCCACGGCUAACUACGUGCCAGCAGCCGCGGGAAUACGUAGGUGGCAAGCGUUAUCCGGAUUUAUGGGGUGUAAAGGGCGUGUAGGCUGGAAAGCAAGUCAGAUGUGAAAACUCAGGGCUCAACCCUGAGCCUGCAUUUGAAACUGUUUUUCUUGAGUGCUGGAGAGGCAAUCGGAAGUCCGGGUGUAGCGGUGAAAUGCGUAGAUAUACGGAGGAACACCAGUGGCGAAGGCGGAUUGCUGAACAGUAACUGACGCUGAGGCGCGAAAGCGUGGGGAGCAAACAGGAUUAGAUACCCUGGUAGUC